rnacentral:misc_RNA from 1 species
AAGAAGAAAGCAGCCAGAUCCUCCUUGUGUUGUAUGUAAAGGAAAUGGCAGAGUUGAGUGCUACCAUUGCCAUGGCAGAGGGAGGACUAACUUUUUGGACCUAGAAAUGCUUCCAAGAGGAGAAUGGCCAAAAUGGUGCAAGAGUUGUGGUGGAAGUGGGCUUGGAUACUGUUCUCGUUGCCUUGGGACGGGUGAAUACCGAUAUAUAAUGGGCUUUCAUUUCAUGAAACGGGAUGAUGAACCUGAAGUUUGAACCAAACUGCUCCUGGAAGAGCUUCAAACUGUGGGAUGAUGUACCAGGAAGAGCAAGCUUCAAG